GACGAACGCUGGCGGCGUGCUUAACACAUGCAAGUCGAACGGAAAGGCCCAGCUUGCUGGGUGCUCGAGUGGCGAACGGGUGAGUAACACGUGGGUGAUCCGCCCCUAACUUCGGGAUAAGCUUGGGAAACUGGGUCUAAUACCGGAUAGGACAAUCGUUUAGUGUCGGUUGUGGAAAGUUUUUUCGGUUAGGGAUGAGCCCGCGGCCUAUCAGCUUGUUGGUGGGGUAAUGGCCUACCAAGGCGUCGACGGGUAGCCGGCCUGAGAGGGUGGACGGCCACAUUGGGACUGAGAUACGGCCCAGACUCCUACGGGAGGCAGCAGUGGGGAAUAUUGCACAAUGGGCGCAAGCCUGAUGCAGCGACGCCGCGUGGGGGAUGACGGCCUUCGGGUUGUAAACCUCUUUCGACAGGGACGAAGCUUUGGUGACGGUACCUGUAGAAGAAGCACCGGCUAACUACGUG
rnacentral:rRNA from 1 species